CGAAAUCUGUUGUUGGGCAAUUCAAUUACUCCGCCAGUUUAAAAGGACAUACGUGUGCCUCGUAAAAUUCCCGUAUUGCCACUUGGUGAGUGCACGCGAGCUGCGUGCCUCGUUAUAGAUCGUUCGUACGAGACGAUGAUACGUGGACGUGACACGUGUAGAUGUGAUACUGGACGGUGCUGAUUCUUCCAUCUCUCUCUGCUCUUCAGAUUUAUCGUCCUCGGUGAGGACGAAACGUGCAACUGGACGACGAGAAUCUGCAGCAUCAUGUCUUCUAGAAGAAGCAAAGGCGGUCUCCUGGCUAGGGUGAAUUUUCCUCUCUAUACCGUGCAAAUGAUAACCAACAGGCACAUCCUGGUAGGAGGCGGAGGCGGUUCCUCCAAGACCGGAGUUGCUAAUGGAUUUGAAAUUUUUGAAUUAUCGCACAAUGGGACAUAUUUUGUUGCCGAAGAAGUAACUAGGCACGAAACAGGUCCCAACGUCGUCAUGAAUUGUGCUUCGUAUAGGAGUAAAAGUAAGACAUGGAUUGUUGCUGGUCAGGAAAGUCACUGUCAAUUGUAUAAUUCUAAGUUAAUUUCGGAGAAUGAAGAAUUCAUCAAAGGACCAACAGCGCAUAAUCUUAGAUGCAGAAAAAAUAGCGAAAAAGCUAAAGAAUCUCAAUUACAGCAGGAGAAGAUAGAGGAAAUUAAAAACAACAAUUUCAAGAGCAAGAAAUUGCAAUUAGUCCUGGAACCUGCCGACAGCAUACAAACAACUUUUGGGAAUGAAGAACCUUUACAAAGAGUUGUUAGAGUGAGCCCUUGCGGAAGUAUUAUGGCUACAGGUGGCACAGAUGGUAAAGUUAGAUUAUGGAAAUUUCCACAACUGGAGAAGCUGUACGAUUUUGAUGGACAUGGGGACGAUUAUAUAGAUGAUAUAGAUUUCAAUCCAAAUGGCAGUCUCUUAGUGAGCAUCGCCAAAGGAAAGGCCUUUGUGUGGGACAUAAAAAGCAAAAAGAGCACAGAACUUAGUUGGAAGCCACCGGAUGGCAUAAAGUACAUGUACAAAAAAUGUCGAUUCAGGGGAUUGACAGAGGAGGUGAAGAAUGAUCUAUUUAUGCUUACUAAUGCCACGACGCCCAAGAAGAAUCCUAGUUUCCUUCAGUUGUGGGACAUUAAUAAUGGUGUAAUAACCAAGUCGGUUCCUUAUAAGGAAACGUUAUCAGCUUUAGCUGUUUCUAGUGAUGGUAAAUUUGUGGCCGUUGGCACAAUGACCUCGGGUAGCGUCGACAUAUUCGUGGCGUUCAGUUUGAGAAAAGCUCUCCACGUUCCUGGAGCGCACAGGAUGUUUGUAACUGGUCUGGAAUUUCUUCCAACGGACGAUGAACUGAACGGUGUUGCGAUCACUAGUAACACGGAGACUGCGGUCGUUAGUAUCUCUGUAGACAACAGGAUCUGUAUACACAGCAUACCAUUCAGACAUACACUGCCAUUUUGGUUCGUCAUCUUGCUAAUAGUCUUGUGCAUAUGCGGCGCAUUCAUUUUCUGCAGUUACCUUGGUAUAUGACCUGAAAUGCGCGACCGAGACGAUAAAGCCAGACGUCAUAUUCUUUUAAUUAUCAUAUUAGAUCGAUUAUUGGCCGUGCGUACGAAAAAUUGAAAAUGAAUAACAGCUUGAAGUUAAACGCACGAUUUGUACGAGUAUGUAAAACGAUUUUCAGGAAAUGCGAUUUAGAUAUGAACGUGACGUCAGUCGAGGUGCUACUGUGAUAAACAAACCAUGUUAGAGUGCUUACAACAGAUUAGAACCGCACUAAUUAGCAUAUUGAUGUACAUAUAGAUUACAUUUUAUCACUUUUUAAUUGCGCAAAAACAAGGAUUUAAUAUGUGUCACAUAGCGAUUGUCUUUCUUUCGUGUGCGUAUAUAUUUAAAU
rnacentral:misc_RNA from 1 species